rnacentral:rRNA from 1 species
UUUGAAAUCUGGCAGUCUUCGAUUGUCCGAGUUGUAAUCUAUAGAGGCGUUUUCCGUGCCGGACCGUGUCCAAGUCUCCUGGAAAGGAGUAUCAAAGAGGGUGAUAAUCCCGUACUUAACACGACCACCGGUGCUCUGUGAUACGUCUUCUACGAGUCGAGUUGUUUGGGAAUGCAGCUCAAAAUGGGUGGUGAAUUCCAUCUAAAGCUAAAUAUUGGCGAGAGACCGAUAGCGAACAAGUACCGUGAGGGAAAGAUGAAAAGCACUUUGGAAAGAGAGUUAAACAGUACGUGAAAUUGUUGAAAGGGAAACGAUUGAAGUCAGUCGUGUUCUUUGGAUUCAGCCAGUUCUGCUGGUCUACUUCCUUGGAACGGGUCAACAUCAGUUUUGUCCGGUGGAUAAAGGUAGUAGGAAUGUGACUUCUCCGGAAGUGUUAUAGCCUAUUAUCACAUACACUGGGUGAGACUGAGGACUGCAGCUCGCCUUUAUGGCCGGCCUUCGGGCACGUUCGAGCUUAGGAUGUUGACAUAAUAGG